UCAGACAACACCACAUGCACACAACACUCUGUACACUCCCCUCCUUCAUCUUCUUGUAACCCUAAAUCAAAAACAAGACUCCAUCUCUCACCUUAAUAAAAACCCUAUCCUCCUAAACACACACACACCCACUGUCAAUCUCUCGCUCCCUCAAACAUGGUCAGCGGAAAUCCGGCGACAACCAGCGCUCCGGUGAUGUUUAAUCCAGCCAGACGACACCCCUUACCUCCUAUCUUCAUCAUAAACCAACCUUGCAGCCCCCUCCCCCUCUCGAUUUCGUUUCCGGCGGACCCACCGAUCAUCCAUCGGUAGUGGUAUCCGGAGUUCCAACCACAUCCACACACACCUCGGAGAUCAGAAGAACCGCCGUUUGCGGCGGGGACGAAACAGAGGGAGACGGGGAGAGGAGCCGGCGCUGCUGCCGCUGCUCACAGCAUCGGUGUUCUCGAGUUUUUCGACGAUCCCGAGAAUGUUGAAGAUGAUGAUGUUCUUGAUCGCCUGAUGGUUUUGUUCUCGGGUCAGAAUCGGGUUCGGGAUGCCUCGGGUUUGCUUCGGAUAUUGGUUCGGGUGUUCGGGUCAGCCACGGUUCAGAUUCGGGUCGAAGGUGGUUCACUCCAAGAUUCAGGUUUAGUUCGGGUCUUGAUAUUUGGGUUAGUUUUGGACCUUGGUCAAAGACGGUCGCUUUAGUCAACAAACGGUUCAGGUCAGAAAUGUUGAGUGCGGGUUUUGGAUCGGGUCGCGGUUCGUGGUUCGUGGUUCGGGUCGACUCGGUCAAACUCAAGUCAAUAGUGAGUCAACUCGGUCAAACCCAGUUGACUCGGUCAACUCAGUUAGCGUUUCCACGUGAGUUUUUGGUAAAGAUUAACGGCACGCUUAUUUCGUUAUUUUUAUAGUUUUAAUUAGUUACAUGAAAACGAGCUUGAACCGAUUCGAUAGAAAACUAGUUUACAUUUCGAUACAUAUGAUGAAAAUUUAUAUAUUGAUAUUGCUUAUAAAUGUUGAAUUUUGAAAA